UACGUAGGGAGCAAGCGUUGUUCGGAUUUACUGGGCGUAAAGGGCGCGUAGGCGGCAUAUUAAGUCAUCUGUGAAAUCUCCGAGCUUAACUCGGAACUGUCAGCUGAUACUGAUGUGCUAGAGUGCGGAAGGGGCAAUCGGAAUUCUCGGUGUAGCGGUGAAAUGCGUAGAUAUCGAGAGGAACACCAGAGGUGAAGACGGGUUGCUGGGCCGACACUGACGCUGACAGCGCGAAAGCCAGGGGAGCAAACGGG
rnacentral:rRNA from 1 species